rnacentral:rRNA from 1 species
AACGAACGCUGGCGGCAUGCCUAACACAUGCAAGUCGAACGAGACCUUCGGGUCUAGUGGCGCACGGGUGCGUAACGCGUGGGAAUCUGCCCUUGGGUUCGGGAAUAACUCAGAGAAAUUUGAGCUAAUACCGGAUGAUGACGAAAGUCCAAAGAUUUAUCGCCCAGGGAUGAGCCCGCGUAAGAUUAGCUUGUUGGUGGGGUAAUGGCCUUACCAAGGCGACGAUCUCUAGCUGGUCUGAGAGGAUGGAUCAGCCACACUGGGACUGAGACACGGCCCAGACUCCUACGGGAGGCAGCAGUGGGGAAUAUUGGACAAUGGGCGCAAGCCUGAUCCAGCGAAUGCCGCGUGAGUGAUGAAGGCCUUAGGGUUGCAAAGC